rnacentral:rRNA from 1 species
UACGUAGGGCGCAAGCGUUAUCCGGAAUUAUUGGGCGUUAAGAGCUCGUAGGCGGUUUGUCUCGUCUGCCGUGAAAGUCCGGGGCUCAACUCCGGAUCUGCGGUGGGUACGGGCAGACUAGAGUGAUGUAGGGGAGACUGGAAUUCCUGGUGUAGCGGUGAAAUGCGCAGAUAUCAGGAGGAACACCGAUGGCGAAGGCAGGUCUCUGGGCAUUAACUGACGCUGAGGAGCGAAAGCAUGGGGAGCGAACAGG